AACGCACAUUGCGCCCUCUGGUAUUCCGGAGGGCAUGCCUGUUUGAGUGUCAUUAAUCUCUCACAAAACCAUUUGGUUUCAAACCAUUUGGUUUCUGUCGAAGUUGGGAUGUGCGAAUCCUUUGGGAAUCGCUCUCCUUAAAUGUAUUGGUGCGGCCCGCCGCCCGGUUACACAACGUUCUAGGUUCGUCCAACUCGUUGCUCUCCGGUGCAAUCAUGGUGCAGCACCUUAAGCCCGCCUUGUGCCUCGAGCUCUUGGCUACUUCAUUUAUUGACCUCAGAUCAGGUAGGAAUACGCGCUGAACUUAA
rnacentral:misc_RNA from 3 species